GCAACCCUUGAUCUUAGUUGCCAGCAUUCAGUUGGGCACUCUAAGGUGACUGCCGGUGACAAACCGGAGGAAGGUGGGGAUGACGUCAAAUCAUCAUGCCCCUUAUGACCUGGGCUACACACGUGCUACAAUGGACAGAACAAAGGGCAGCGAAACCGCGAGGUUAAGCCAAUCCCACAAAUCUGUUCUCAGUUCGGAUCGCAGUCUGCAACUCGACUGCGUGAAGCUGGAAUCGCUAGUAAUCGCGGAUCAGCAUGCCGCGGUGAAUACGUUCCCGGGCCUUGUACACACCGCCCGUCACACCACGAGAGUUUGUAACACCCGAAGUCGGUGAGGUAACCUU
rnacentral:rRNA from 2 species